ensembl:lncRNA
AUUUCACAGGUAAACAGAUGAAGAGGUAACAGGUGAUUGAGUACAAAAGGAGCUUUCACAAAAAGCUCAGUCAGAACUUUGCAAAAAAACUGUAUGAGUGAAAAUUCCGACAGUUCCAAAAACAUUUCUCAAAAAAUAAUUGCAACAUCUACCGUCCAUAAAAUUGUUAAAAGAUUCAGGGAAUUCGAAGAUAUUUAGGUGCAUAAACCACAAGGACAUGACCUUCAGUCCCUCAGAUGGCACUGCAUUAAAAACUGACAUGCUUCUAUAAUGAGUAUGACCACAUGAGCUCAAGUAUACUUCAGAAAACACUUGUCAGUAAACAUGUCCAGAAACAUAAAUGGAAAGUGGAAGCCAUUUAUUAACAUCGUCAGAAACGCUGCCAACUUCUCUGGGCUAAAGCUCAUUUGAGAUAGACUGCAUAGUGGAAGUUGCUGUGGUCUGAUAAGAUUUUCUUUCAGGUUGAACCAUUAAAUAACAAUUUUCAGUUGAGCAGGUCAGAAAGAACUUGCAAGUCAUUAUUAUCUGUUUUUAUUUACAUCUUUGGAAUUGGGUUUGUACUUUUAUCUCCUUUUUUGAGUUAGCAGGUGUGAAUGCAUGUUUAGAGAAAUAUCUACAAGUGUUUCUUCACGCACUUGCAUGUAUUAAAGGAGCAUUCUGCAUAAUGUCCCGAUGAUAUGUACAUCAGUGGUUGUAGACAUAUCGUAGUGAAAAUCAUAGAGUGGUUAUAGCAUUGCAUAAAGUGAUAACUUACAGUUGUUUUCCCUUAGGAGAAAUGCAUUUUUGAGGGACGUUGGAGAUGUGGAAGCUGUUCAGAGAUUCAGAAAUGUAGAUAAAAGCAUCGCGGAGGUUGUGGCUACAUAUACUACCUUUUCUGGAUGGAAAUCUAAGAUUUCUGAAGUUCCCCAGAUAAAACCUCCUGACAAAAACCUUCCAGAUGAUUUACUUGGCCUGCUACGUCAUCUGCGUAACUUACUGGUGCACAAGUAAGUCUAACAUCUUCGGAAUGACUGUCUUUUCUUUUCUUUAAAUGAAUCAUUAAUACAAUUAUUAUUGUUAAUAAACAAUUGAUU